rnacentral:rRNA from 1 species
CAUUCAAAUUUCUUCCCUAUCAACUUUCGAUGUUUGGGUAGUGGCCAAACAUGGUUGCAACGGGUAACGGAGGGUUAGGGCUCGACCCCGGAGAAGGAGCCUGAGAAACGGCUACUACAUCCAAGGAAGGCAGCAGGCGCGCAAAUUACCCAAUCCCGACACGGGGAGGUAGUGACAAUAAAUACUGAUACAGGGCUCUUUCGGGUCUUGUAAUUGGAAUGAGUACAAUUUAAAUCCCUUAACGAGGAACAAUUGGAGGGCAAGUCUGGUGCCAGCAGCCGCGGUAAUUCCAGCUCCAAUAGCGUAUAUUAAAGUUGUUGUGGUUAAAAAGCUCGUAGUUGAACCUUGGGCCUGGCUGGCCGGUCCGCCUCACCGCGUGCACUGGUCCGGCCGGGCCUUUCCCUCUGUGGAACCCCAUGCCCU